rnacentral:misc_RNA from 1 species
AACGGUCUAUACCUGCGGUACCUGCGGAGGGAUCAUUACAGAGUUGCAAAACUCCCACAAACCAUCGCGAAUCUUACCCGUACGGUUGCCUCGGCGCUGGCGGUCCGGAAGGCCCUCGGGCCCCCGGACCCUCGGGUCUCCCGCUCGCGGGAGGCUGCCCGCCGGAGUGCCGAAACCAAACUCUUGAUAUUUUAUGUCUCUCUGAGUAAACUUUUAAAUAAGUCAAAACUUUCAACAAUG